rnacentral:rRNA from 1 species
ACAGGGGCAUAACACUGAGAAAUUGGUACUAAUUCCCCAUAAUAUUCGGAGAGGCAUCUCUCCGGGUUGAAAACUCCGGUGGUUAUAGAUGGACAUGCGUUGUAUUAGCUAGUUGGUGAGGUAACGGCUCACCAAGGCAACGAUACAUAGGGGGACUGAGAGGUUAACCCCCCACACUGGUACUGAGACACGGACCAGACUCCUACGGGAGGCAGCAGUGAGGAAUAUUGGUCAAUGGACGCAAGUCUGAACCAGCCAUGCCGCGUGCAGGAAGACGGCUCUAUGAGUUGUAAACUGCUUUUGUACGAGGGUAAACUCACCUACGUGUAGGUGACUGAAAGUAUCGUACGAAUAAGGAUCGGCUAACUCCGUGCCAGCAGCCGCGGUAAUACGGAGGAUUCAAGCGUUAUCCGGAUUUAUUGGGUUUAAAGGGUGCGUAGGCGGUUUGAUAAGUUAGAGGUGAAAUCCCGGGGCUUAACUCCGGAACUGCCUCUAAUACUGUUAGACUAGAGAGUAGUUGCGGUAGGCGGAAUGUAUGGUGUAGCGGUGAAAUGCUUAGAGAUCAUACAGAACACCGAUUGCGAAGGCAGCUUACCAAACUAUAUCUGACGUUGAGGCACGAAGCGUGGGGAGCAAACAGG